CAGAACGUAGCUAAACUAGCUAUAGCAUCUCCCUUACACCGAGAAGAUGUCCGUGCAAACCGGACCGAACUG
rnacentral:tRNA from 1 species